CAGUGAUCUGCAAAACUUAAGUGCAGCAUGCCUUGUUACAAUUUCCCCUCCUGUUCUUUGUCUUCCCCCCCCUUCCCCCUUACUACAAAUGGGCACGGGGUUUCAUACCACUCUGAUGUUCCCCAGCUAUAGGUAUGCUACUUAGCCUUUGUAUGUUCUCAUUGUCACACAAUGUAUAGCAUUCUGUUAUAUGUAAUAUGGAAUGAAACCUCCUGUCUCUUGAAAAAUUGCAAAUAAA